GAUCCUGGCUCAGGAUGAACGCUGGCGGCGUGCUUAACACAUGCAAGUCGAGCGAAGCACUUUGCUUUGAUUUCUUCGGGAUGAAGAGCUUAGUGACUGAGCGGCGGACGGGUGAGGUAACGCGUGGGUAACCUGCCUCAUACAGGGGGAUAACAGUUAGAAAUGACUGCUAAUACCGCAUAAGGCCACAGCACCGCAUGGUAGCCAGGGGGUAAAAAACUCCGGUGGUAUGAGAUGGACCCG
rnacentral:rRNA from 1 species